CUCAAGGGGCUGAAAAAAUCGGUCUAGGCCCCUAAGACCCUCAAACUUUUACAGAUGCACAACUGAGAGCAUCCUGUCGGGCUGUAUCACCGCCUGGUAUGGCAACUGCACCUGCCGCAACCGCAGGGCUUUCCAGAGGGUGGUGCGGUCUGACCAACACGUCACCAGGGGCAAACUACCUGCCCUCCAGGAUACCUACAGCACCCUAUGUCACAGGAAGACCAAAAAGAUCAGGGACAACAACCACCCGAGCCACCGUCUGUUCACCCCGCUAUCAUCCAGAAGGAGAGGUCAGUACAGGUGAAUCAUAGCUGGGACCAAGAGACAGAAGCUGUUUUUCCACUCUCAAGGCCAUCAGACUUAAAUAGCCAUUACUACGCAGCUUCCACCCAGUUACGUAACCCUGCACCUUAGAGGCUGCUGCCCCAUAUACAUAGACUUGAAAUCACUGGCCACUUUAAUACUGGAACACUCGUCACUUUUAUAAUGUGUACAUAUUUUUGUUUUACUCAUCUCAUAUGUAUAUACUGCGUUCUAUUAUACUCUAUUUUAGUCUAUGCCACUCCAACUUUGCUCAUCCUAGUAUUUAUAUAUUCCUUAAUUCCAUUAUUUUACCUUUAGAUUGUGUGUGUGUGUAUUGUUAGAUAUUAUUGCACUGUUGGAGCAACACGCAAGCAUUUCGCUACACUCGUAACAUCUGCUUAACAAAAUUUGAUUUGUUGAGCUAAAUGUAAACUUUUUUUUUUAUGGAACAGAAAUAAAUCGAAUCAGUUCAUAACUUUAGUUUGCUGGUGGAAACUGGAACAGAAGAAAAAAAAUAACGUUUCUGUUCACGAUUGGAAAAUUAUUACUUUGGUUCCAACUCACGGUAAGCUAUACACAGAUAUUUUAGAGGCAUCUCUUUCAAAAGUAGACUUAUGUGCUAGGUUUGUACUACGAUUAACCAAUCAAACUAAUCCAUAGUGGAUAAAUACAUUUUAAAAAAUCCUUAAAGCUCUGAGCCGAAGCUCCAUCUUUUGUAGAUUACUAAAAUUGAUGAAUUGAUGAAAAUUGAUGAAACUAAAAUUGAUUGAAAAGUAAAUUGUACUGUUACCCCCUGUAUAUAGCCUAGUUGCUGUUUUAGGGUUUCUCUUUAAUUAUGUGUUACGUUUCUAUUUCCAUUUUUUGGUUCAGUUUAUUUAGUAAAUACUUGAACACAUUUAUUUGUUUUUUACGGCGUUGUUGGCAUACAAUUAAGCAUUUCACUCUAGGGUCUACACCUGUUGUAAUCUUUGCAUGUGACAAAUAACAUUUGAUUUGAUAAAUUGACAUUUGAAGGUUAUAAACCAAUGGAAGAAACAAGGAUAAACACAGGCCCACAGCAAACACUGAUUGGAUUUGGCAAACACUUGCAUACCUAGUUCAGUGGCAGAAUGGGGAUUCGAUCCAGCCACCUUUCGGUUACUGGCCCAACGCUCUGACCACUAGUAACCAAAAGGUUGCUGGAUCGAAUCCCUGUUCUUUUUAUUUAUUUAUUUUAUUUCACCUUUAUUUAACCAGGUAGGCCAGUUGAGAACAAGUUCUCAUUUACAACUGCGACCUGGCCAAGAUAAAGCAUAGCAGUGUGAACAGACAACACAGAGUUACACAUGGAGUAAACAAUUAACAAGUCAAUAACACAGUAGAAAAAAAGGGGGAGUCUAUAUACAAUGUGUGCAAAAGGCAUGAGGAGGUAGGCGAAUAAUUACAAUAUUGCAGAUUAACACUGGAUUGAUAAAUGAUCAUGUACAGGUAGAGAUAUUGGUGUGCAAAAGAGCAGAAAAGUAAAUAAAUAAAAGCUGUGGGGGUGAGGUAGGUGAAAAUGGGUGGGCUGUUUACCAAUAGACUAUGUACCAAUAGACUAUGUUCUGCCAAUGAACAAGGCAGUUAACUCACUGUUCCCCAGCAGGCCGAAAUUGUAAAUAAGAAUGUUAUUUUAACGGACUUGCCUUGUCACAUGUAAGUAAAGGAUAAAUAAAACAUGUAUGGAUGCCAGGCUACGGAGCUUCAUAACCAACCAAACCUAAAAUAUUCGGUUUCACCAAAAUAACGUUUCCAACAACAGAGGCAAAUCCAAUAUAUCUAGGAACAAUACUUAAAAUACGUCAGGUUGAACGCUUCCUUCGCUAUCGAAUAAGCGUUAAAAACACGUUUUUCUAAUUCCCGUCUGUAAAAGUGGGAGUUAAGUAGUAUUUUACUCACGUGACCGAGAAUGGACAACAUGGCAGCCCACACAGGCGGAAAAUGGGACACCCUGGAUAAAAACGUGCUUUAAAAAGCUUAUUUGAUAGCGUAGUACACAUCAAACACGAAUCGGCAGCUCAUUGCCGAGUCCACAUAAAGGUACGAAUCUUUCCUAGGCAAAUGAUGACGCCUGACUUGAUUCUUGUGACCAAACAGGGAAAUAUAAUCAAUGAUGUCUCACACCAUACAAGGCCUACUAGGAAUUUGGUGCCUUUCAGUGUGUUCCACAAUGUUUUAUAUUUUUCCAUGGUAGGCCUAGUUCUAGUUGUUACACAGCUUAAUGGAAGCUCAGAUUCAUGAUUAUUCACAUGUACAGACCCAGCAGUGCACCUGGCACCUACUAGCAUACCCAGUUCAAAGGCACUCAAAUCAAAGCUUGAUGAUUAUUUGAAUCCGCUGUGUAGUGCUAGGACAUAAACGUCCCUAUUAUCUAAUUGUGCUGUUAAAAUGUAGACACCUGAAGUUUCCUAACCCGUUCACGGGAUUGGUUACUCGAGGUUCCUAUUGCAGGGAUGGGAGACUCCUGGCUUCUGUAGGAGUUGUCACACUUUUUCUCAAUCCCAAUGAAACUACUUACGUUCUAAACUGAGGUCAUGAUUAGUUGAUUAUUAGAGUCAGGUGUGUUAGUUGGGGCAAAAGUAUGACACCAAUCAGGCCUGUGAGGCCUUGAGUUUCCCAAUCUUUAUAGGGUCUCCAUCAAGCUAGGUAAAUUUGCUUUUAAUUUUUCCAGAUUGCUGGAACAAAAUUCAAAAUGUAUUUCCUCUAGAUGUUCUGGUGCUGUUCAGGCAAUUAACUAUUGAUGGGGGACUUAUUUUUGGGGGGAUUCCCAUGACUAUGUUUUUGUAUUUUAUUGUGUAUUUGCUGAUUUAUUAUAAGGGGUACAUUUUUAGAGACCUAGGUCUCAAAUGUCUUCCCUGUUUUAAAAUAAAGAUGAAAUAAAAAAUGUCUCAAGGCUAAA